rnacentral:rRNA from 1 species
CCUACGGGAGGCUGCAGUGAGGAAUAUUGGUCAAUGGGCGCGAGCCUGAACCAGCCAAGUAGCGUGAAGGAUGACUGCCCUACGGGUUGUAAACUUCUUUUAUAAAGGAAUAAAGUGAGGCACGUGUGCCUUUUUGUAUGUACUUUAUGAAUAAGGAUCGGCUAAUUCCGUGCCAGCAGCCGCGGUAAUACGGAGGAUCCGAGCGUUAUCCGGAUUUAUUGGGUUUAAAGGGAGCGUAGAUGGGUUGUUAAGUCAGUUGUGAAAGUUUGCGGCUCAACCGUAAAAUUGCAAUUGAUACUGGCAGCCUUGAGUACAGUUGAGGUAGGCGGAAUUCGUGGUGUAGCGGUGAAAUGCUUAGAUAUCACGAAGAACUCCGAUUGCGAAGGCAGCUUACUAAACUGCCACUGACAUUGAUGCUCGAAAGUGUGGGUAUCGAACAGGAUUAGAUACCCCGGUAGUC